CAGUCGAACGCGUCUCCGUUAAUGAUUUUAGGUGCUUGCACUUGAAAGAUUUAACAUUGAGACGAGUGGCGAACUGGUGAGUAACACGUGGGUAACCUGCCCUUGAAGUAGGGGAUAACACUUGGAAACAGGUGCUAAUACCGUAUAACAACCAAAACCACCUGGUUUUGGUUUAAAAGACGGCUUCGGCUGUCACUUUAGGAUGGACCCGCGGCGUAUUAGCUUGUUGGUAAGGUAACGGCCUACCAAGGCGAUGAUACGUAGCCGACCUGAGAGGGUAAUCGGCCACAUUGGGACUGAGACACGGCCCAAACUCCUACGGGAGGCAGCAGUAGGGAAUCUUCCACAAUGGACGAAAGUCUGAUGGAGCAACGCCGCGUGAGUGAUGAAGGGUUUCGGCUCGUAAAACUCUGUUGUUGGAGAAGAACAGGUGUCAGAGUAACUGUUGACAUCUUGACGGUAUCCAACCAGAAAGCCACGGCUAACUACGUGCCAGCAGCCGCGGUAAUACGUAGGUGGCAAGCGUUGUCCGGAUUUAUUGGGCGUAAAGCGAGCGCAGGCGGUUUUUUAGGUCUGAUGUGAAAGCCUUCGGCUUAACCGGAGAAGUGCAUCGGAAACCGGGAGACUUGAGUGCAGAAGAGGACAGUGGAACUCCAUGUGUAGCGGUGAAAUGCGUAGAUAUAUGGAAGAACACCAGUGGCGAAGGCGGCUGUCUGGUCUGUAACUGACGCUGAGGCUCGAAAGCAUGGGUAGCGAACAGGAUUAGAUACCCUGGUAGUCCAUGCCGUAAACGAUGAGUGCUAAGUGUUGGAGGGUUUCCGCCCUUCAGUGCUGCAGCUAACGCAUUAAGCACUCCGCCUGGGGAGUACGACCGCAAGGUUGAAACUCNAAGGAAUUGACGGGGGCCCGCACAAGCGGUGGAGCAUGUGGUUUAAUUCGAUGC
rnacentral:rRNA from 1 species